AUUGAACGCUGGCGGCAUGCCUUACACAUGCAAGUCGAACGGUAACAGGUCUUCGGAUGCUGACGAGUGGCGAACGGGUGAGUAAUACAUCGGAACGUGCCUAGUAGUGGGGGAUAACUACUCGAAAGAGUGGCUAAUACCGCAUGAGAUCUACGGAUGAAAGCAGGGGAUCGCAAGACCUUGUGCUACUAGAGCGGCCGAUGGCAGAUUAGGUAGUUGGUGGGAUAAAAGCUUGCCAAGCCGACGAUCUGUAGCUGGUCUGAGAGGACGAUCAGCCACACUGGGACUGUGACACGGCCCAGACUCCUACGGGAGGCAGCAGUGGGGAAUUUUGGACAAUGGGCGCAAGCCUGAUCCAGCAAUGCCGCGUGCAGGAUGAAGGCCUUCGGGUUGUAAACUGCUUUUGUACGGAACGAGAAGCCCUGGGUUAAUACCCUGGGGUCAUGACGGUACCGUAAGAAUAAGCACCGGCUAACUACGUGCCAGCAGCCGCCGUAACAC
rnacentral:rRNA from 1 species